CUCUGGUUUUGGAAGCUGAGUCCUCCUAGCCAGCUGCUGAAACAUGUGAACUCCACUCCACGGCUGCCCAGGGCAGUGGCAUUUGCACUGUGUCCCCUGAGCGCUGGGGUUUUGCAGACGUGACCUAGGGCGGGGUGCUUGACAGCAGGUACCCCCGGUCCCUCAGCCCCUUCUCCCCCGUCAGCCCUGCUCUUCUCAUUUCAUUUGUUGGGGUUUCAAAGAAUGAUGUUUGCAAAAAGGUUCUGAUGCCAAGAAACCGCGAGCCCCGGUGGCUAGGGAUCUUGGAUCACCACCUCUAUGGACGCUGCAAGCCUGGUGCCUCCCCAACAGAGUCAUGGCAUGAUGGCCUACCCCAGACCCAUUGUCAGGCCAGCCCAGCAACCGUUCCCCUGGGACAGGGAGUGGGCCUUGGACCUGCCUCCAGCCUGCCCUCCAUCAAAGUGACUCUCCAUGGAGAAGCCACAGGUCCCUGGGGCAGGUUACAGUGCAUGGGUGUGGGGGCAGAUGGGUGGAUUUGAGUCUCAUUUCUGUCACUAUUUAGCUUUGGAAACUUAAUCACCACAUGUGAUCCAAAUGUCUUAUCUGUAAGAUGAACAUAAUAAUGACGACUUGAUACAAUUGUGCCAAUUAAAGAAAGCAGUGUUCUCGGAUACCUCACA
ensembl:lncRNA novel transcript